UAAAGCAACUUUCAUAUAAUUUUUGUUGUAUGAUUUUCUUAUUGUCGAAUCAAGUUGGAAACAUGAAUCUUAUCUAUAAAUUUAGGUUUGCAAGUAAGCUAAGUUGAGUUGGCUUCAGAUGGAUCAGAUUAGCUUUACUUGGAGCAAAUAAUGUAGAACAUGAGCUUAUUCUAGUUCUCAUAUUCAAUCUAUUUCGGUAGAAAAUGGACAAAAUUUUUGAUAACCAAAAUGUUUGUCUGGCUUACUAAUAUUGAUUAAGCACAUUGACAUUACAACCAUCCCC
rnacentral:lncRNA from 1 species